UACAGAGGUCUCAAGCGUUGUUCGGAUUCAUUGGGCGUAAAGGGUGCGUAGGCGGCGCGGUAAGUCGGGUGUGAAAUCUCGGAGCUUAACUUCGAAACUGCAUUCGAUACUGGCGUGCUUGAGGACUGGAGAGGAGACUGGAAUUUACGGUGUAGCAGUGAAAUGCGUAGAUAUCGUAAGGAAGACCAGUGGCGAAGGCGGGUCUCUGGACAGUAACUGACGCUGAGGAGCGAAAGCGUGGGGAGCGAACAGG
rnacentral:rRNA from 1 species